rnacentral:misc_RNA from 1 species
UUGUGAAUCGCUGGAUUGAACUGAGAAAGCUGUGCAAUUCUGAAGUGGAAAAUGGACGGAGUUCAUGAGGCUACGGUGGCGGGGAAUUUGACGUCACCGCCUUUUCUGAACAAGACGUAUGAUAUGGUGGAUGAUCCGAGUACGGAUAAGAUCGUGUCGUGGAGUCCUACGAAUAAUAGUUUUGUGGUUUGGGAUCCUCCGGAGUUUGCUAAAGACCUACUUCCGAAGUACUUUAAGCAUAAUAACUUCUCCAGCUUUGUUCGGCAGCUGAAUACUUAUGGUUUUAGAAAGGUUGAUCCAGACCGCUGGGAA